CGGCGGACGGGUGAGUAAUGUCUGGGAAACUGCCCGAUGGAGGGGGAUAACUACUGGAAACGGUAGCUAAUACCGCAUAACGUCGCAAGACCAAAGAGGGGGACCUUUGGGCCUCUUGCCAUCGGAUGUGCCCAGAUGGGAUUAGCUAGUAGGUGGGGUAACGGCUCACCUAGGCGACGAUCCCUAGCUGGUCUGAGAGGAUGAUCAGCCACACUGGGACUGAGACACGGCCCAG
rnacentral:rRNA from 1 species